AAAAUACUCCCUCCAUCCCAAAAUUCUUGUCUUAGAUUUGUCUAAAUACGGAUGUAUCAAGUCACGUUUUAGUAUUAGAUACAUCCGUAUCUAGACAAAUCUAAGACAAGAAUUUUGGGAUGGAGGGAGUACAAC
rnacentral:pre_miRNA from 1 species